rnacentral:rRNA from 1 species
CCUGGUCGAUCCUGCCAGUAGUUGUAUGCUUGUUUUGAAGAUUAAGCCAUGCAAGUGUAAGUGCACCGGCUGACUCCCACGGGAGAGACACGGUAAACCGCAGACGGCUCAGUAGAACGGACGCAAUUCCGUCGGGCGUGGAGGUCGAGAUGGAUAACUCUGGAAACGCUAGAGCUAAUACAUGGUGCAGGAGAGGCCGCACCCCGGGCGGGUCUCGGCCCGCGCCGGGGGGAGGCGGAGUCGUUGUCCGAAGGGUCGGACCGGCGAAGAGUCGUCGAUUUCCAGAGCAAGGGACCGAUCGCUGAUGCCCCGCGGGGCAGGCGACGCGCCCGGUGAGCGUCCGACCUAUUACGACCAGACCGGUGGGUAGUGGCCCCCGGUGGUGGUGAUGGGUGACGGGGAAUCAGGGUUCGAUUCCGGAGAGGGAGCCUGAGAGACGGCUACCACCCCUAUGGGAGGCAGCAGGCGCGCAACUUACCCAAUCCCGGCACGGGGAGGUAGUGAGGAGAAAUACCGGUGCGGGGCGUCGGCACGAGGCCCCGCUCCCGGAAUGAGCGCUUCCCAAACUCAGCGACGAGGAGCCAUCGGAGGGCAAGUCUGGUGCCAGCAGCCGCGGUAAUUCCAGCUCCGAUAGCAUACAUUAAAGUUGCUGCAGUUAAAGCGCUCGGAGUUGGAGGUGAGCGGUGACGCGGUCGGCGUCCCUCCGGGGUCCACGCCGAUCCGGUCCCGCCCGGGUUUGCCGGAUGGACCGGGGCGCCCUUGGCCGGGUGCCUGCCGGGGAUGCGGCAGGAGGUUACCUUGAAAAAAUUAGAGUGCUUCAAGCGGGCCGGAGGCUGCCCGGAUAGAGGAAUCGUGGAAUAACGGCAAGGGGACGGCGCGGCCGUGAGAGUUCCCCGCCCGAGGGCGGCGGAGCCGUCGGUCCGAGGCCACGUCGUAGACGAUUGAGAGGGACGGCCGGGGGCAUUGGUACUGCGGGGCGAGAGGUGAAAUUCUGGGACCCUCGCAAGACCAACCACAGCGAAAGCAUUUGCCAAGAAUGUCUUCCUUAAUCCAGAACGAAAGUCAGAGGAUCGAAGGCGAUUAGAUACCGCUCUAGUUCUGACCGUAAACGGUGCCGACCGGCGAUCCGCGGCGUUUGUAGUCCGAACGCCGCGGGCAUCCUCCCGGGAAACCAAAGUCUUUGGGCUCCGGGGGGAGUACGGUUGCAAAACUGAAACUUAAAGGAAUUGACGGAAAGGCACCACCAGGAGUGGAGCCUGCGGCUCAAUUCGACCCAACACGGGGAACCUCACCAGGUCCGGACGCCGGAAGGAUUGACAGACCGAGAGACCUUUCUCGAUUCGGUGGGUGGUGGUGCAUGGCCGUUCUUAGUUGGUGGAGUG